GAUGAACGCUGGCGGCGUGCCUAAUACAUGCAAGUCGAGCGAACAGACGAGGAGCUUGCUCCUCUGACGUUAGUGGCGGACGGGUGAGUAACACGUGGAUAACCUACCUAUAAGACUGGGAUAACUUCGGGAAACCGGAGCUAAUACCGGAUAAUAUAUUGAACCGCAUGGUUCAAUAGUGAAAGACGGUUUUGCUGUCACUUAUAGAUGGAUCCGCGCCGCAUUAGCUAAUUGGUAAGGUAACGGCUUACCAAGGCAACGAUGCGUAGCCGACCUGAGAGGGUGAUCGGCCACACUGGAACUGAGACACGGUCCAGACUCCUACGGGAGGCAGCAGUAGGGAAUCUUCCGCAAUGGGCGAAAGCCUGACGGAGCAACGCCGCGUGAGUGAUGAAGGUCUUCGGAUCGUAAAACUCUGUUAUUAGGGAAGAACAAAUGUGUAAGUAACUAUGCACGUCUUGACGGUACCUAAUCAGAAAGCCACGGCUAACUACGUG
rnacentral:rRNA from 1 species